rnacentral:sRNA from 1 species
AAUUUGUGGAUGAGACAAUAAGGGAUUCAGGAUUAUGAUAGGCAGUGGACGAUUUUUGGGGGCUUGUCACGUCUCCAUUGUACCUUGGACCUGAUGUGGCAAGACUUGAUAUUCAUUUUUUUUUUUUAUUUUAGGCAUCAGUGGGUGGACCAGAACGUUGUCAUGACAGUUGGUUUCCUGGCAGUAACUUAGUGUCAAACAUGCGACACUUUAUAAACUAUGUUAGAGUAAGAGUUCCAGAGACUGCUCCUGAAGUAAAGAGAGACUCACCUGCAAGUACUAGCUCUGAUAACUUGGGUUCUUUACAAAAUUCUGGUACAGCUCAAGUUUUCAGUUUAGUAGCAGAACGUAGAAAGAAAUUUCAGGAAAUCAUCAAUCGCAGUAGCAGUGAAGCAAAUCAGGUGGUUCGUCCCAAAACUUCAAGUAAAUGGUCUGCUCCUGGUUCAGCUCCACAGUUAACUACAGCCAUUUUGGAAAUUAAAGAAAGCAUAUUGUCUUUGCUAAUUAAACUUCACCACAAACUCUCAGGAAAACAAAACUCCUACUAUCCCCCUUGGCUUGAUGACAUAGAAAUUUUAAUCCAACCAGAAAUUCCU